UUCGGCACGGGAUGACAAUGAAUGCGUACCCAGAAAAGUGUGUGGUAACUCAUAUAAGAUACCAAAAGAUGGAAGGGGAGAGGGAAAUUUCUUGGGAAAAUGUCGUUUUACAGAAGCCCUAGCUAUAUAUAUAUUUCACCUUGCCAAGUUACCAAAUAUGUUGGAGGCAAGAGUUUCAUCAGCAAAAUCAAUUUCUUCUGGUUAUCUUAUAUUUUCUUUUUCUUGGGCAAAUUCAUGUUCGCUUCUUAUAUAUAUGUGAAUAUAUAUUGUAUACAUAUAGAGAUGAACAAGCAGUAUUCGAUUUCGUGUUGAUUCACAUCUGCAUCGACUGGGCAUAUACUUGGAUGAACUCCAAUAGUAAGUAUCAAAAUUUCAUCCUAAAGUCCUUUCUCAUCAUAGCAGUGACCUAUUAUUUACCAUAUCAUGGGAAGACUUUCCCAGAAGCGGCAGAUAUCCCCAUACCCGUGUCGAAUUUAUAUUCUUCCAUUCCUCGCUUGUAACUGGCCCUACAUACUCCAUGGUCCAUUUUUAUCAAUCACAGUAUUCGUUUUCUGAAGUGAGUUAUUUAUUUUGCAGAAACAUGUACUUCAUCAAAGAUUAUUUGUUUCGUUGAUGGGGAAUGUACUCGAUGUAAUUUCUUUAAACUGACCCCUUUCCGGCUAUCUUAGUGCUAAAUCUACCUCCUCUUGGAUGGGUGAAGACGACUGUUGCCCCAGUUGGACAGUUGCUGUCACUCACACGUUGCCAGAGGCCGCCCCUUCUUGACAUCUAUGGGGCACAAGCAGAUGGCCUGUGGCUUAAGCUCGUACCACAGCAAGGGGAGACUCGCAAUUGUCACCAACAACGUCAAGGGGGUGGCGACAACGUGACAGCAGACUUGUCACUUUUUCUUUGUUUUAUCAGAACAUCCAAAGAUACUUCCAUGCAGUAAAGUUGCAAAGGUCAUAUGUAAAUGUUCUACUCCCAACGUGAAAUCUUGCAGUCAACAUUCUCAGACACCAGACCCGAAAGACAUAUGGAGAUUGCAAGUGUGAAUACGUAUUUGCCUCCAGUAAACUGCGGCACUCCAAAGGGAAGAAAAGAGCCUGAGGCCAUUGCAUUAUAAGUAAUGUCGUGGUAACAUCAAGUCAACAAGAAAGUAUUCCCGAUCUCAUAUAUCUCUAUCCAAAGAGAUAUCGAGAAAUACACAUCAAAUACUCCGGACAAAUCAUAUGAUCGUAAAUCCAAACAUCUUUCCAAUAA